CUGCUGUUGUGUCUGUGAGAACCUAUGAAUGUCAGCAGCUGUGCACUUGCAGAUCCUGAGGAGCAGGAUCUCCCCAAAAUCACUGGUUAGAUGACAAACACUUCCUUCAGUAUCUCCUGCAUGAAUCCAAGUAUCACCUGGGCAAGUCUGAUCAGCAGGACCUAAGUACUGUGCUGCCAGGGAACCCAAAGAUAUGUUGAGCAGCUUCAAGUGAUGGGUGUAAAGCUUGCCACAUGAAGUGGAAAGGGCGGAGAUUGCUUCAUGGCUGCCUAUAACUGUGGUAACCCCUGUCCAUGCAUAAUGUGAUCGUCUUGAUUUCCACAAUCUCAAGGACCUGAUCACCAGGUCCUUCCCUGAUGCCAAAUCCAAGCCCUCUUGGUCUGGUAUAUUUUGACUUGAAAUCUGAUGAGUUUUUGAUUGGAAAGCACUUCUGUUAAAACCAGAUUAAAGAAGAAUGCAACAUGC